rnacentral:tRNA from 1 species
UGACCUAUUAAUUAAUAAAAUGUUGAAGUUAAUACCUUGGGGAGCAAGUUUAUAGUAUUUGCAUAGGUCAA